rnacentral:pre_miRNA from 14 species
GGAACUGUUCCUGAAUGUCCUAAAGAAGUGUAGCAGCACAUCAUGAUUUGCAUGCUGUAUUAUAGAUUCUAAUCAUUUUUUGCUGCUUCAUGAUAUUGGGAAAAAUCUUUUGCCUUGUGC